GACCACGGAUCGUUUUCUGCUACUGUAGCUGCUAUAGUAAUGGCGUCAGCAUUUGCUAUUGCACUAGUUGUCAUCUUUAUCCUACUUCGUCGCGGACAAACAUCCAGAGAGUAACUUGUUGACAUCAAAAAGGACUCAAUCGAAAAAUAAUAACAGGACUUGAACUGAUGAAAUUUAGCAGAUAUUUCUACAAACAAAUUUGUUACAUUUUUUUAAAUGACGUUUUCAAGUGCUAAUGUCUUUUUACCUAAAAUAAACCUAACGGAUUGUACGUUUUUUAAAUGGUAAUGGCUUAAUACAUACAAACAGAAAUUAAUCUUGGUACUCCAUAAGGUCCAUGAAUGGUUGAUUGUUUUGAAUAUUGAUAUCAUAUUAUAUGUAUGUAUGUAUGUAUAUGUGUAUGUAUGUGUGUUUGUAUGUAUGUAUGAAAGUGAUCCUUACUUUGAUAUAUAUUUGAGCACUGUAUUUAUUACCUAUUUGAUUUAUACAGUAUUUAUGUUUCCCAGUGCUUUUUCGUAGCUAAAAUUGGCUCCACUAUGUGUGAGCCCUCAAGUUGUAUGAAAUAGAGAGACUAGUGGUCUAGUGGUCACAUGAUCAUUCCAUUUUGUAUUUCUUGGUAAAAAGGGAGGUAUAGUCCUCCCCUGGGUUUAUAGCCUCUCUACCCAAACCAAUGGAUGCAUCGGCACACCUGCUUAGGUUAAUUUUUAUUAAUUCAUAUAUUUAUAUACUUAUUUUGUGUACCGAUGCUAUAUGGAUAUAAUAUUUUAAAUAAAGUUGAUUAACUGAUUA